CCAGUGCAUGCUGUAUGUUUCCCUAACAUCUCCAACUCAAUUCAUUUCUCAUCCGAGUCAUUUCAUUGGCAGUUUCAGGUACUAUCAGCAGCUCAACACAAGUUCCAUCGCAGAGCGGAGAUCUUCUGUUCUUUAUUUCAACGAACCAGCAUGGGAUUGUGCCGAUUUCGUCUAAGAAGUAGAGAACGAAGCAGAGAUAUCUGUUGAAGAUAGAUCAAGGACGCGACAGUUGAACAGUGCCUCGCGUCGAAAAAAUACCUUCGUUGAUGUUUCGGGAUUUGUGCUUGGUUGGAGUCUUGUCCCCUCCUGGGAUUAUUCUCUCAGUCGUCUUGGCUUUGUAGGCCAGAUGUGUUCUUAGGACUGGAGUUGUGCGUUUGACAUUGAUGCAACAAGGCGGUGGCAGAAUCUGUGCUCCGAGUCGGUGUGAGGCAAAGACACCUGACCCAAGCCGUUCAUGUUUUUUUGCUUGCCAAAAAUGGGGCCGUCUAUUGACUAGACAUUUCUGGGAAGAGAAGCCUCAGGUGAAUGGGAUUCUAAUUGUGCAGUCGAAGAAUUAGAUGCAGAUUUGCGGAUAAAAAUCUCGUGAUUGGGCCUGGGAGGAAGUCGGACACCGAAAUGGAGAUAAUUAGAAUGCGUUUGCAUUUUUAGAAAUGUAGCGAAAAGAAGGUGGUGUCCGGCCGGCAGACACAAUGAGAAAGCUAGCACUUUCUGGUUAUGGAACAGCUUCUAAUUCUUAUCAGCUGGAGGUGCUUCCUAACAUGGUACUUUUCGACACAAUGAGCUUGUAAUCAUGCUCGUAUGUUCUGUAUGUGAGGAUACCUGAUUGUCAUGUGGAUAGAAUAACAUGAAGAAAUUCUUUUCACUGGCACAUGAGGGAUUUAUUGCUCUUAUUCA